rnacentral:RNase_P_RNA from 1 species
AAGGAUGAAAAGGUGCGGUAAGAGCGCACCGCCCGGAUGGCGACAUGCGGGGCAAGGUAAACCUCACUCGGUGCAAGACCAAAUAGGGAAGCUGUGACCGGAUUCGGGUAGCUUCCGGGUUGGUUGCUUGAGCCUGCGGGCAACUGCAGGCCUAGAUGGAUGGCCGUCGCCGGUUUCGCUUUCGAGCGGAGCCGGUACAGGACUCGGCUUAUAGUCCGCCUCGCGGC